GACGAACGCUGGCGGCGUGCUUAACACAUGCAAGUCGAACGGAAAGGCCCUGCUUUUGUUGUGUGCUCGGGUGGCGAGAGGGUGAGUAACACGUGAGUAACCUGCCCUUGACUUUGGGAAAACUUCAAGAAACUGGGGCUACUACCGCAUAUGAGCUCCUGCUGCAUGGUGGGGGUUGGGAAGUUGCGGCGGUUGGGGAUGGACUCGCGGCUUAUCAGCUUGUUGGUGGGGUAGUGGCUUGCCAAGGCUGUGACGGGUAGCCGGCCUGAGAGGGGGACCGGCGACAUUGGGACGGAGCUACGGCGCAGACGCCGACGGGAGGCAGCAGUGGGGAAUAGUGCACAAUGGGCGGAAGCCUGAGGCAGCGACGCCGGGUGCGGGAUGACGGCCUUCGGGUGGUAAACCGCUUUCGCCUGGGACGAAGCGGGAGUGACGGUAAUGGGUAAAGAAGCACCGGCUAACUACGUG
rnacentral:rRNA from 1 species